UUCCUACGGGGCGCAGCAGUAGGGAAUCUUCCACAAUGGGCGAAAGCCUGAUGGAGCAACGCCGCGUGGGUGAAGAAGGUCUUCGGAUCGUAAGACCUUGUUGUUAGAGAAGAAAGUGCGUGAGAGUAACUGUUCACGUUUCGACGGUAUCUAACCAGAAAGCCACGGCUAACUACGUGCCAGCAGCCGCGGUAAUACGUAGGUGGCAAGCGUUAUCCGGAUUUAUUGUGCGUAAAGGGAACGCAGGCGGACUUUUCAGUCUGAUGUGCAAGCCUUCGUCUUAACCGGGGUAG
rnacentral:rRNA from 1 species